rnacentral:rRNA from 1 species
UACGAAGGGGACUAGCGUUGUUCGGAAUCACUGGGCGUAAAGCGCACGUAGGCGGAUUUGUAAGUCAGGGGUGAAAUCCCGGGGCUCAACCUCGGAACUGCCUUUGAAACUGCAGUGCUAGAAUCCUGGAGAGGCGAGUGGAAUUCCGAGUGUAGAGGUGAAAUUCGUAGAUAUUCGGAAGAACACCAGUGGCGAAGGCGACUCGCUGGACAGGUAUUGACGCUGAGGUGCGAAAGCGUGGGGAGCAAACAGG